AGAGUUUGAUCAUGGCUCAGAUUGAACGCUGGCGGCAGGCCUAACACAUGCAAGUCGAACGGUAGCAGGAAGUGCUUGCACUUUGCUGACCAGUGGCGGACGGGUGAGUAAUGCUUGGGAACUUGCCUUUGCGAGGGGGAUAACAGUUGGAAACGACUGCUAAUACCGCAUAAUGUCUACGGACCAAACGGGGCUUAGGCUUCGGCGCAGAGAGAGGCCCAAGUGAGACUAGCUAUUUGGUGGGGUAAAGGCUCACCAAGGCGACAAUCUCUAGCUGUUCUGAGAGGAA
rnacentral:rRNA from 1 species